rnacentral:rRNA from 1 species
GGUAGGUACUCGAGUGGCGAACGGGUGAGUAACACGUGGGUGAUCUGCCCUGCACUCUGGGAUAAGCCUGGGAAACUGGGUCUAAUACCGGAUAGGACCAUGCUUUAGUGUGUGUGGUGGAAAGUUUUUCGGUGUAGGAUGAGCCCGCGGCCUAUCAGCUUGUUGGUGGGGUAAUGGCCUACCAAGGCGGCGACGGGUAGCCGGACUGAGAGGUUGGUCGGCCACAUUGGGACUGAGAUACGCCCAG